rnacentral:rRNA from 1 species
CCUGGCGGCCUUAGCNGCGGUGGUCCCACCUGACCCCAUGCCGAACUCAGAAGUGAAACGCCGUAGCGCCGAUGGUAGUGUGGGGUCUCCCCAUGCGAGAGUAGGGAACUGCCAGGC